UUUUUCUGAUUUGCGCGGAGGCUGAAAGAAUUCGGAGAAUGUGUGUUGUCAUCAGCUUCGUCUCUUUUGUUUCCGUGAGAUGGGAGUUAAAUAACAGCACGAGAUUC